rnacentral:piRNA from 1 species
ACUGGUGGGUAAUAGUGGAAAGGA